AGUCUGCAUGGAGCCGACCUUGAAAUACCACCCUUUAAUGUUUGAUGUUCUAACGUGGACCCGUAAUCCGGGUUGCGGACAGUGUCUGGUGGGUAGUUUGACUGGGGCGGUCUCCUCCUAAAGAGUAACGGAGGAGCACGAAGGUUGGCUAAUCCUGGUCGGACAUCAGGAGGUUAGUGCAAUGGCAUAAGCCAGCUUGACUGCGAGCGUGACGGCGCGAGCAGGUGCGAAAGCAGGUCAUAGUGAUCCGGUGGUUCUGAAUGGAAGGGCCAUCGCUCAACGGAUAAAAGGUACUCCGGGGAUAACAGGCUGAUACCGCCCAAGAGUUCAUAUCGACGGCGGUGUUUGGCACCUCGAUGUCGGCUCAUCACAUCCUGGGGCUGAAGUAGGUCCCAAGGGUAUGGCUGUUCGCCAUUUAAAGUGGUACGCGAGCUGGGUUUAGAACGUCGUGAGACAGUUCGGUCCCUAUCUGCCGUGGGCGCUGGAGAACUGAGGGGGGCUGCUCCUAGUACGAGAGGACCGGAGUGGACGCAUCACUGGUGUUCGGGUUGUCAUGCCAAUGGCACUGCCCGGUAGCUAAAUGCGGAAGAGAUAAGUGCUGAAAGCAUCUAAGCACGAAACUUGCC
rnacentral:rRNA from 1 species